UACGGAGGAUGCGAGCGUUAUCCGGAUUUAUUGGGUUUAAAGGGUGCGUAGGUGGUUGUUUAAGUCAGCGGUGAAAGUUUGUGGCUCAACCAUAAAAUUGCCAUUGAAACUGGAUGACUUGAGUAUAUUUGAGGUAGGCGGAAUGCGUGGUGUAGCGGUGAAAUGCAUAGAUAUCACGCAGAACUCCGAUUGCGAAGGCAGCUUACUAAACUAUAACUGACACUGAAGCACGAAAGCGUGGGGAUCAAACAGG
rnacentral:rRNA from 1 species